rnacentral:rRNA from 1 species
UACGGUAGGGUGCAAGCGUUAAUCGGAAUUACUGGGCGUAAAGCGUGCGCAGGCGGUUAUGUAAGACAGGUGUGAAAUCCCCGGGCUUAACCUGGGAACUGCAUUUGUCGACUGCAUAGCUAGAGUACGGCAGAGGGGGAUGGAAUUCCGCGUGUAGCAGUGAAAUGCGUAGAUAUGCGGAGGAACACCGAUGGCGAAGGCAAUCCCCUGGGCCUGCACUGACGCUCAUGCACGAAAGCGUGGGGAGCAAACAGG